CAUCGAAGAAGCACAAAGCCCGGGGAACAACGAAGGGACCCUCCACGACGGAAGGAAGAAACCGUUGGAACGAUCCGAACAAUGGAACGUGACUUAAGGACACCGGAGAGCUCGAGAGCCAGCUUUACACCGCGGGAUCGUUAAUGCUGAACUGGGAAGAUGGACGACGAGCACCGUAGAAUCGAAAGCUGUGAAUACAACGGUUCAUGUUUAUGGAUGGACCAGGCUAAUGGACCAGGACCAACCUUUUGUUUUGUAUAACCGAUGGCCAGCAAGCGAAAUGGAACAGUUGCAACUUGGGGCAUUCUCGCCGAGCAACGUUAUGUCGCAUAAUCGCCUAUGGACCCUUGCACUCGUAUUUGAAUAUGGAGUAGCUUCGACGAAAGUGCAAUCGACUUCCCUCUGCCUUGUCAGUUCAAACGGGCACAAAUCCCAAGAGUGAAGCGUCAGACAGUGACAUACACCGAGAAAAAAUUCACCCACGCCGGAAUUGUCCAGAAUUUCCGAUUCCGACGCGCAAAAUCCUUCUCCAAUUUCUACGAAAGCGCAUUGCUGUAAAUGUAAUUGUCGUACCCAACGCGUUAUGUCAUAAUUCGGCGAUUCAUCCAAGUCUUUAGAUACGAACAGAAAUGGGUCCCAAUUAUUGCCGUCCGCAUUGAAUCCGUCUACAACCCGACGAGCUUUUCCACGGGAGACGAUCAAGACUAUUGAUACAAACAGAUAAACAACCAUGCAUAAUAACUUGAAGUUGCCCCGUGUUUAAUAUUUUAUAAUUCAUAAAAAUAUUACGUAUUGUAUACAAUACCAUUUUGAAAAUAAUUCCAAUUGAUGAAAUUAUACUUAUUUC